UUUUUUUUUGGUUUUUUUUUUUACACUUAUGGCUUUUUCAGCAGUGGAGGUUAUUGCCAUCCAGUGUUUUCCAUCUGCUGUGACUCAUUUGGGCUCACACAGAAGUGAUUAGAAAAUCACGGGACUCCAGGAGCUACAGCUUUAAGGAAAAGCACAACGAAUUACAGCUUCUGCAGGAAAAAUAAGAGUUGGCAGAGAACAGCUACAAAGGCUGCUGUAAGGAACCAGCCUGAGGAAACGCACCCACCCCAAAACUGUCUUCACUGUUGAAAUACUUGCUUUCUCUUCCUUCAUUAUCCAAAGCAAAAAGGAAGGCAGUAAUUAUUGAGGAAGAAGGUUAAAAACCAAAGAGUUUUGACUGGAAACAAAAGCCCAAGUGAGCUGUCCUCAAAACUUUGGAUGAGCUAAGAGUUGAUGUGUAGGAAAAAGAGAAGGAAUAGAACAGGAAGAUCAUACAGUUUAAUACCCUAAUAAACAGCCUGAGAAGUCAGGCAGGGAUUGCUGCUUUCCUGCUCACUGGAUUCCAUGCUAUUGCAAGGUUUAUAGAUCUUUUUUUGGGUCACAAAAAGCAUCGGGCAGCACCUCCUCACGUGUGAUCUCAGCUCAGCUGCACACUCACAGCUCAGGACUUUUAAGCCAGGCUGUGGAUUUCAGUGAAUUUGCAGCAGCAGCCAAUUACUGUGGCCAAAAGUGGCACGGGUUGGGAUUAAUCAAAGUCACAAGGCCACAGGGGGGAAGUGGCAAGUUUUUCUUCAUACCAGUGGAUACAACCCACACCCAGAGUCGUGGGCAUCUGAAUAGCUGCCCUCUGCCCUCUGCUACAAAAGGGUAAAAAUACAGCCAGAGACUCAAUCUCUUUCUUCCACUGUCCCAGCCAAGUCUGGGAUUUUUUAACAGUUUGGAGCAAGUUGCCCAGUGUGGUGUUCAUCCCUUCCUCACUCCAAGUUUGAUGUGCAUCCCACAGCAAACUUCCCGAGCCUCUUCUAGGGUUUCUUCACCUUCCAAUUUCAUAAAGCAAAAGCAUGUUUCAGUCCAGGGAAGAAAACCACCAGGAUUGUGGCACAAGGAGGGCAAACAGCUAUGAUUCAAUGCCUUUGGAUUUCACAAGAGGACUCCCUGGAGCAAUCUCCUUUCCUGUGUCCUUCCCACUGUUCACCCAACAGCAGCUGGGCAAACACUGGAACAUCUCCUCAAAAGAGCAAGCACAGGCAAAAGAGAUGCUUUAUGAAUUCCAUGGGCAGUGCUGACUAAUGAAGUAUUGGCAGCCUGGUCUUCCAUGGCAAUCACAGUGGCAGCCUGCAGCCUGGUUUUCCAUGGCAGUCACAGUUUCCAUGAUUAUCACCUCAUAUGUGUCUUUACACUUGCUCUUCACAGAAAAAUAAAUAAAUAAAU
rnacentral:lncRNA from 1 species